rnacentral:lncRNA from 1 species
GUUUUAUGGACGGCUUAGAAGCCAUUCUUGCAGUCCAAGGUAAAACAACUAGGUCAAAUUCACUUUGGACCAAACAUUAUUCACAUUCUUCCAUCACGGGGAGAUUUGUUCGCUACAAUAAGAAAGCGACGAUUUAAAACACUGAACUUUAACUGCUUCAGUCAUCACCAUUAAGUAAUGCCCAUUUAUGGAUUCCACCAUCUCUAACUGUCGACUAAACUCUCAGCUAUAAAAACCUAACAACCACCACCUCCUCUUUAAAAAAAGAUUUAAAUAGUUUUAUCAAUGUACAAUAUAUCUAACCCUUAACCUCCUUUUCUCAAACUCUGACUUGAGCGUCGGAAUGCAUGCAAGUACACUGCCGCCCGCUGUUCUAACCAUCUACCACAAAUCUCCUUUAAAUUGUUUUUAAAUGAUAAACAGACUCUUGUGUUAAAAUUAAGAUUAUGAUUUUAUGUUGUUAUUUAAUGUGUCCUCUUGGAUGAAUUUUAUUAAGGACAUGAAAUUCAAAUCUAACAAAUAUGUUAAAGUCAUGUGUCCUUUGAUAACAAAUCAUCAAGCUCCUCGAGAAAAAUACGAUGAUAAUUCAAGAUUUAUUGAAUUAAUCCAAAAUCAUUGAAAAAGAAAAGGCAUGCGCCCUUGAAAUAAAAAUGGAUAACCAUUUUGGUCUAUAUGGUCAACAAGGUUAUUAGCUAUAGAGGGAGAGGGUGGGGGGCUGAAUAGCUUUGAAAGAUUUUGACUAAUUGAAAACAGGUUUGAACAAUCACAACAAUUACAAAAAGCAAAAGGUAUGGAAAAUGCCUAGAGCAUAAAAUUCACAUCUCAUGCACCUAGUGGAUCAUCCAUGGGCCUAGGCCAUGAAAUGUGAUACACUCACAUGCAUCUAGGGUGUUUUGCAUGCCGUUUACCGGUGUUUUUAGAAAACAAAUACCGAUUGGUUU